rnacentral:lncRNA from 1 species
AAGCCAUUACGCAAAAAGUUCCUUGUCAGCAACCAUUGCACAUCUUUUAUUUUUAUAAAGUACAAUAGUUCUUUUUUGCAUACAGAAACAUGUCAACAUUCUAGAAACGGAUGUGUUCGUCUUCAUCUAAAGUCCAACUGGCAUAAAAAAUCAAGUUGCAGUUGCAUUCUGUUGAUACAUUGCUCAUCAAAUUUUUAGAAUUAUAAGUCAAAUUCCAAUAGAAAGUAUGAGUACCGCAUCUUAAAAAUGCACAUCUAAUAGCUUGUAAACUUGGUCCAAUUGAUGCCUGCUAAUUUCGCAUAUCUUUUCCAAGCAAUACAAUAUUUCUUCUCGCAUACCUGCAGUGUAUAUAUUGUUCACAAGAGAAUGAGAGAAGACCAUGAUCAUCCCGGGCUCUACAUGUAAGAGGAGCAACGGGCCUAAUUGAACUACAGCUUGUUGACCGAACAUGAGGCGGGCCGUGUGCGAUGUUGGCGCGUGCGCUCUGCCAUGUGGGGCGGUGAGGAGGCAACGACGACAGUGUGCGUGUCAAAUGGCGGUCAUGGAGCCCCAAAUUGAAGGAUGAGAGGGUGGUAUCCAGUCUUGCUCCGUUGGUUGGCAGUCAUGGAUCCCCAAUUUAGAGGAUGAACGGAUGUUGUAUUCUGCCAAACUCAUCGAGGAAGAUAAAUGCAUGCCCAAUAGGGGUAAACUAUCUAUAUUGGACUGAAUUAUAAGUGCUUCGGUUGCACCAAACUCAAGAACUGUCUAGUUGUUAAAAUUUGUGAUGUGAGCAAAACCAUGGACAGAUAUAAAUUGAAAACAAAUACAAUUUGUUUUAUACAAGUACGCUUUGAAAUGCAUAUAGAAAUAUGAAUGAUAUAUACAUGAAAAAUUACCACUGACUCAAUAGGUCUACUGUGAUACGAUGUAGCACUUUGGCAGCCAAAUUAAAUUGCAAAAUGCAAAUACAAUACAUAAAUUAUUGGAUUUGCCAGCUAAAUAGCAAAUUCAUGUUAGAAUUUUGUGUGGAAAAAACACAUCUAUUCCGGUAGAGCAGAGUAGAGCUAGCAACAACUGAAAGUCUGAAUACUAAAACUAUCUGGCCUCUACACCAUGGCUGGCUCUACCCUACAUGAACAUGAGUUGCAUCCUCGUUUGAUUUACUCCAUGAUCCCAAUCCAAAUUCUUCACUCGAUCCCUAUAUAUAAAAAACAUAUUGUAAUGCAUAUGUUGGGACCUAAGAGCUAGGAUCGAAGAACAAGCGAAGCAAGCAAAACAAAUAAGGUGGCAAAGAGCUGAAGCAUGACAACAGAGCAUAUACCAAGAUCCAAAACGUGAGCAAUGACCUCUCCGAGUAAAAUAGCAUGUGUGGCAUGGGAGAGGGUAGGUAUUGGAGGUACCAUGCUGGGUACGGUCAUGGCGUCGAGCCACAGGGUGCAGUGACAUGAGUACU